GGCUCAGGAUGAACGCUGGCGGCGUGCCUAAUACAUGCAAGUCGAACGGGGGCAGUAGCGAUACUGUCCUAGUGGCGAACGGGUGAGUAACGCGUUGGUGACCUGCCCCAGAGAGGGGGAUAACAGACCGAAAGGUCUGCUAAUACCGCAUAAAUUCUCAGCAGUUAGAGGGGUUGAGAAGAAAGCCGAAAGGCGCUUCUGGGAGGGGCCUGCGUCCCAUCAGCUAGUUGGUAGGGUAACGGCCUACCAAGGCGAAGACGGGUAGGGGACCUGAGAGGGUGGCCCCCCACAAUGGAACUGAAACACGGUCCAUACACCUACGGGUGGCAGCAGUAGGGGAUAUUGGUAAAUGGGCGAAAGCCUGACCCAGCAACGCCGCGUGCGCGAAGAAGGCCUUCGGGUUGUAAAGCGCUUUUCUGAGGGAUGAGGAAGGACAGUACCUGAGGAAUAAGUCUCGGCUAACUACGUGCCAGCAGCCGCGGUAAGACGUAGGAGACGAGCGUUAUCCGGAUUUACUGGGCGUAAAGCGCGUGCAGGCGGCUCGUUAAGUUGGAUGUGAAAGCCCCUGGCUAAACUAGGGGAGGUCGUUCAAGACUGGCGGGCUAGAGUGCAGCAGAGGAGAGUGGAAUUCCGAGUGUAGCGGUAAAAUGCACAGAUAUUCGGAAGAACACCAGAGGCGAAGGCGGCUCUCUGGGCUGCAACUGACGCUCAGACGCGAAAGCUAGGGGAGCGAACGGGAUUAGAGACCCCGGUAGUCCUAGCCGUAAACGAUGUGGACUUGGCGUGGGGAGGGUAAAGCCUGUCCGUGCCGAAGCAAACGCGAUAAGUCCACCGCCUGGGGACUACGGCCGCAAGGUUAAAACUCAAAGGAAUUGACG
rnacentral:rRNA from 1 species